GAGAAAGACUCCAUUCAGAUAUUUUGUCAGCUACAGGCUUCAGUGGCAAAUGGCAAGACAACUAGCAUCACCAGCUGGAGGAAGGAUGUUGUCCUAGAGCUGGUCACAGCAUGGAGCCUCAGGACCCGGGCCCUUCCCAUUAACUGAAGGUUAUGUGUGCCAUACUCCAUUCUUCAUGUGCUCAGACUAACAUCAGAUAUUAACUAUCAUAGGACACUAACAUAGGACACUAACUUAGGGAGAGAAAGAGAGACGAAAUGAUAUUUGAAUGGCUACAUAUAUUUCAAGAAAGACUGAACUCUUAAAGCAGAAGUCCGCAGAAGGCCGCAGAACUCCGCAGAAGGCCGCAGAACUCCGCAGAAGGCCGCAGAACUCCGCAGAAGUCCGCACACAGUAAGGAAGUUGCCUCCGCGUCCAGCCCGCUGAUUGAGCAGGCCGAGAGCCAAUGCGCAAAGAAGGUCCGUUUCCGUUUGUUUUCCUCAUACUUUUCCUUCUUUCUGACCAGUAAGCCACAGAGUUAUGGAAAAGGCUGGGGAAGAAUCUGUGGCCGAGUCCUUCUUCCCACAGGUCCACUAAUUAUGGAGAACCAAAGUUUUUUCUUAAAACUGACGGGACAAUCGAUGAACCUGACCACUGCAGACAUGGACUUCCCUAAACUUCAAUCUGUGGAGAGAGGCCUCAGAGUCUUCACUCGCUAUUUCAUUUUCAGGCUCCUUCCAGCAAAAUAAAAGUAAAAACAACAGCUAUUUGAUGGCUCAUUGCCUUUGUUUCCCU
rnacentral:lncRNA from 1 species